CCCAAACCUCCGCGAUACACAAGAGCGGAUAUAACGAGCUGACUCGCGUCCCAAACCUUCGUGUUACACGUGACACACAAUCAGGCUCCUGCUGUGGCAGUGGACACGGAGACGCCUUUAGACUGGACUACAUAUGAUGGAUGUGACCCAAAUAGAGCUACCGUCAGGUAAGGGUGUAUUGUAAACACUGUUGUCUCUAUAUAUGUUGACCUGUAC